AGGGACUGCAGGAGCGAAUUCCCGAAGGCUUGCAGGAGCCGCCCGGCUCUGCCUCCAGCCUUUCUCUCUGGGCCUAGCGGGACUCUCCCAGGCAGGCCCCUCCCUGCCCGCGGGCGCACUUUCCCCGCCUGCAUCUGAGGCGUGGCGCAGCUGGGAGCAAAGCACAGUUAUCCUGGAUCCUAUCUUUGGUACCAAUGUGACCCAUCCUGAGUGAAGGUCACAUGAGGUAUUGAAAGAGAACUGGAAAUGAAAUUGCCUAAUGAGUCAUCAGACAGCAACUAAAAGUCUUGAACUGUGACAGCCACCAAAAGUACGAAUAGCUCACAUCCCUCCAGUGGUGUGAAUCUGACAUUUGAUAGAAUAAAGUGGGUAUGGAUGGCUAAGAUUCAUCAUUAUUAGUUCCGAACAUAAUAGUGAUAUGGGUUCAAGGCUCUCUGGUUAAUGAAUUCAUUCCGUUUGAAAAGGCAAAUGAGACUUCUUCAAGCAGCAAAGAACAGGCAGUGGCUCCAUGCUGUGUGCCUCUUCUCUCACUCCCCCUUCUCUUACUCGCUCAUUCUGAGGGAAGCCAACUGCCAUGUUGCGAGCUGCCCUACAGAGUGGUUCAUGGGACUCGAAACCAAAGGAUGCCUCCAGGCUCCAGUCAAUGGGGAACUAAGGUCCUCAGUCCAACAGCCCGUGAGAAAUUGAACGCCCUGAAGCUACAGAAUGCAUUGGGAACUGGGUCUCCCCCAGUAGAGCUUUCCGAUAAACCUGGAUCCACAGCCACACCCACCUGACUGAACCUCAUGAGGGCGCUAUAGCCCGAAGCACACAAAUGAGAUCUCUCUGUAAAAAGAAAAACGAUAUCCAGGAACUUCCAAGAUGGUAGCUUGCCUGUGGUUGAGAAGAUAGUCUUAUAGGCUUCAAGAUCAAUGUGCAGUCAAGAAAAAAAGAAAGAAAUCAGUAUUCUACAUUCCCCUAAUAGAAUAGAAGUGAUUCCCACAGCUGCUUCUUACGAUUUAUUGAUGAGUUCAGGGCUGUACAAGCACGGCGCCAACAUCUGUUCAGCUUCUGGGGAGGCAUCAGGAAGCUUACGAUCAUGGUGGAAGGUGAAGCAGGAGCAGGCACGUUGUAUGAUAGAAUUUCCGUCUGUCUCCCAGGCUGGAGUGCAGUGGCACGAUCUCGACUCACUGCAACCUCCACCUCCUGGAUUCAAGUGAUUCUCCUGCCUCAGCCCCCUGCGUAGCUGGGAUUACAGGCACUCUCCCUCUUCCUUCUAUGACAAGGACCCUGAUUCGACACGGCUGCCCAUGUUCCCAGCUCCAGGAGAUAAACGAAGUCAAACCUAAGCCACUCAUGACAAAUUUGUCUCCUGUGUAAUUGGUCUAGGCACAAGCACAUGACCCAUUUAUAGACAAUGAGACAGGCCCUUGUUGAAUUAGAACACUGCUGCUAAAAUUGAAAGCAUGAUGGGGAAACUGAGGCCUGGAGUAACCAGUCAUAUUGCUUCCAUGCUGGGAACUCUCCAAUGACAUAUCGCACAAUACAGAGCCAACCUCAAGUUCCCCACCAUAGACCACAAGGACUUGCAAGUUCUAACCUUGCCCAAUCUCCCUUAUACGCCCUCAGUCCAUGUGCCUCUGUGAUGAUGGAUUGGGUCCUUCUUGGCUUCCUCCAAAGGGGCAGAACUGCUCUGGAAGGUUCCUCAUGGCAUUGGCAAUGAUCUUAUUCUAUGCUGCUUAAAGAGAUUAAAUUGACUUUGCUCUUGUUACAUAAUUAAUGGUUAAGAAUAAAAUUCUGAACAUUUUCAAGGAAACUUUUA
ensembl:lncRNA LINC02350 long intergenic non-protein coding RNA 2350